CCUACGGGCGGCAGCAGUGGGGAAUAUUGCACAAUGGGGGAAACCCUGAUGCAGCGAAGCCGCGGGAGUGAAGAAGUAUUUCGGUAUGUACAGCUCUAUCAGCAGGGAAGAAAAUGACGGUACCUGACUAAGAAGCCCCGGCUAACCACGUGCCAGCAGCCGCGGUAAUACGUAGGGGGCAAGCGUUAUCCGGAUUUACUGGGUGGAAAGGGAGCGUAGACGGCCAGACAAGUCAGAAGUGAAAGCCCAGGGAUCAACCCUGGGACUGCUUUUGAAACUGCCGGGCUGGAGUGCAGGAGAGGUAAGCGGAAUUCCUAGUGUAGCGGUGAAAUGCGUAGAUAUUAGGAGGAACACCAGUGGCGAAGGCGGCUUACUGGACUGUAACUGACGUUGAGGCUCGAAAGCGUGGGGAGCAAACAGGAUUAGAUACCCCUGUAGUC
rnacentral:rRNA from 1 species